UACGUAGGGAGCAAGCGUUGUCCGGAAUUACUGGGUGUAAAGGGAGCGUAGGCGGGAGGAUAAGUUGAAUGUGAAAUCUAUGGGCUCAACCCAUAGCUGCGUUCAAAACUGUUCUUCUUGAGUGAAGUAGAGGCAGGCGGAAUUCCUAGUGUAGCGGUGAAAUGCAUAGAUAUCACGCAGAACUCCGAUUGCGAAGGCAGCAUACCGGCGCCCAACUGACGCUGAAGCAC
rnacentral:rRNA from 1 species